rnacentral:rRNA from 1 species
GGAUCAGACCCGAAACCGAGUGAUCUAGGCAUGGCCAGGUUGAAGGUAAGGUAACACUUACUGGAGGACCGAACCCACAUCCGUUGAAAAGGAUCGGGAUGAGCUGUGCCUAGGGGUGAAAGGCCAAUCAAACUCGGAGAUAGCUGGUUCUCUGCGAAAUCUAUUUAGGUAGAGCGUCAUCCGAAUACCCCGGGGGGUAGAGCACUGGAUGGGUAAUGGGGCCCCACAGGCUUACUGAUCCUAACCAAACUCCGAAUACCCGGGAGUACUAGAUGGCAGACACACUGCGGAUGCUAACGUCCGUAGUGGAGAGGGAAACAACCCUGACCUACAGCUAAGGCCCCCAAUUCAUGGCUAAGUGGGAAAGCAGGUGGGACGACCAAAACAACCAGGAGGUUGGCUUAGAAGCAGCCAUCCUUUAAAGAUAGCGUAACAGCUCACUGGUCUAAAUAAGUUGUCCUGCGGCGAAGAUGUAACGGGGCUCAAGCCAUGAGCCGAAGCUUAGGAUGCCGUAAGGCAUGGUAGCAGAGCGUAGUGUGACAUAGACUUAUCCUCUUUAGUGUCCUUCGGGGCACCUUGGAGGAUCGAGUCUUUUCGAUGAAGCCGGCGCGUGAGCGAUCCGGUGGAGAGAUCACUAGUGAGAAUGAUGACAUGAGUAGCGACAAAGAGUGUGAGAGACACUCUCGCCGAAAGUCCAAGGGUUCCUGCUUAAAGCUAAUCUGAGCAGGGUAAGCCGGCCCCUAAGCCGAGGCCGAAAGGCGUAGGCGAUGGGAACUAGGUUAAUAUUCCUAGGCCGUGGAGUGGUG